rnacentral:lncRNA from 1 species
UUUAUUACUGUUUUCCACAUGUAUCUAAUGAUAAACAAGGUUACAGCCUUUUUUUCUAAUGGAUUAGGCUUCAAAGCUGAUAUGGUAGCCCAUGUCUUGGUUAAAGCUGCUAUUAUUAAUGCCGGCAAACUGGUAUGGAGAAAAGCUUCAACUUUUUAUUUUUCAAGUUGCAUUUUGAUGUUAUUGAUAAGAUCGUUUUCUGAUAAUAGGUUGGGUACAUGGUGUCGAUCUACUGGUCGGGGUUAGUUUGAUUUGUAAUGCUAAGUUUUUAUCUGGUUUUCUUUUAUUUAUAAAAGUUUAUUUCAAAAAAAAAAAAAAAAAUUAUCUGUUUGGUUCAGC